rnacentral:rRNA from 1 species
GACGAACGCUGGCGGCGUGCUUAACACAUGCAAGUCGAGCGGUAAGGCCCCUUUGGGGGUACACGAGCGGCGAACGGGUGAGUAACACGUGGGUGACCUGCCCUCAGCUCUGGGAUAAGCCUGGGAAACUGGGUCUAAUACCGGAUAUGACUCCAUGACGCAUGUUGUGGGGUGGAAAGCCUUGUGCGGCUGGGGGAUGGGCCCGCGGCCUAUCAGCUUGUUGGUGGGGUGANGGCCUACCAAGGCGACGACGGGUAGCCGGCCUGAGAGGGCGACCGGCCACACUGGGACUGAGACACGGCCCAGACUCCUACGGGAGGCAGCAGUGGGGAAUCUUGCGCAAUGGGCGAAAGCCUGACGCAGCGACGCCGCGUGAGGGAUGACGGCCU